rnacentral:rRNA from 1 species
GAUUAAGUUAUUAAGGGCGCACGGUGGAUGCCUUGGCACUAGAAGCCGAUGAAGGACGUUACUAACGACGAUAUGCUUUGGGGAGCUGUAAGUAAGCUUUGAUCCAGAGAUUUCCGAAUGGGGAAACCCAGCAUGAGUUAUGUCAUGUUAUCGAUAUGUGAAUACAUAGCAUAUCAGAAGGCACACCCGGAGAACUGAAACAUCUUAGUACCCGGAGGAAGAGAAAGAAAAUUCGAUUCCCUUAGUAGCGGCGAGCGAAACGGGAAGAGCCCAAACCAAAAAGCUUGCUUGUUGGGGUUGUAGGACACUCUAUACGGAGUUACAAAGGACGACAUUAGACGAAUCAUCUGGAAAGAUGAAUCAAAGAAGGUAAUAAUCCUGUAGUCGAAAAUGUUGUCUCUCUUGAGUGGAUCCUGAGUACGACGGAGCACGUGAAAUUCCGUCGGAAUCUGGGAGGACCAUCUCCUAAGGCUAAAUACUCUCUAGUGACCGAUAGUGAACCAGUACCGUGAGGGAAAGGUGAAAAGCACCCCGGAAGG